AUGGGGCAGUCGAUUCUCCCUCGUCUCCCAGCGGCGCUAUGUGGUUGUUGGCGACUUGCCAUGGCUGCCGGGAAUGGGCUGUACACGUUGGAGACCACGUCGAAGAUGAAUGGUGGCAUGCAUCUCUUGGAGGAUGCGCCGCCACCUGCAGAUGACAUACAUGGCAAUAAUGCGUUCUGGGGAACCAGAGAUCACUGGUCUUGGAGCAACAUCCCAACACCACCCCCUUUCUGUGUGGCCGAAAUGGUGUCAAGCGCGGUGCACCCUGAGGGAGGAGGACGCACCCUGUUCGUGUCUGGCAAGAUCAGUGACAUGGAUGACCUCUCCAUUUGCACACCCCAGACCUUCUCCUAUGACACGGGGACCGGCGAGUGGAGGUGCCACGGCGAGUGGGAUCUGCCAUUUCGGGGUCAAGCUCACUACGACGCCGAGCUAGAUGUGUGGGUUGGGCUUCACAAGAAAUCUGAGCCCUUUGGCAACCUCGUCAUGGAUGGCUUCAUCUGCUCGUGCGACCUCGCAUCUCCCUGCGGGAGCCACACCCAGCCCACAUGGAAAGUCUGUGAUGAGAGGUUGUUCGACCGACCCUUACAAAUGGUGCCACAACAACGCUCGUCUUGUGUACAUGGGUAA
rnacentral:rRNA from 1 species